GUCGAACGCACUCUCGUUUAGAUUGAAGAGCUUGCUCCUGAUUGAUAAACAUUUGAGUGAGUGGCGGACGGGUGAGUAACACGUGGGUAACCUGCCCUAAAGUGGGGGAUAACAUUUGGAAACAGAUGCUAAUACCGCAUAAAACCUAACACCGCAUGGUGUAGGGUUGAAAGAUGGUUUCGGCUAUCACUUUAGGAUGGACCCGCGGUGCAUUAGUUAGUUGGUGAGGUAAAGGCUCACCAAGACCGUGAUGCAUAGCCGACCUGAGAGGGUAAUCGGCCACACUGGGACUGAGACACGGCCCAGACUCCUACGGGAGGCAGCAGUAGGGAAUCUUCCACAAUGGACGAAAGUCUGAUGGAGCAACGCCGCGUGAGUGAAGAAGGUUUUCGGAUCGUAAAACUCUGUUGUUGGAGAAGAAUGUAUCUGAUAGUAACUGAUCAGGUAGUGACGGUAUCCAACCAGAAAGCCACGGCUAACUACGUGCCAGCAGCCGCGGUAAUACGUAGGUGGCAAGCGUUGUCCGGAUUUAUUGGGGCGUAAAGCGAGCGCAGGCGGUUUCUUAAGUCUGAUGUGAAAGC
rnacentral:rRNA from 2 species